AUUGAACGCUGGCGGCGUGCUUAACACAUGCAAGUCGAUCGGUAACAGGUGUAGCAAUACAUGCUGACGAGAGGCGGACGGGUGAGGAAUAUUUGGGAAUCUGCCCAUCAGCGGGGGACAACCCGGGGAAACUCGGGCUAAUACCGCAUACGCUCUACGGAGGAAAGCCGGGGACCGCAAGGCCUGGCACUGAUGGAUGAGCCCAAAUCGGAUUAGCUAGUUGGCGGGGUAACGGCCCACCAAGGCGACGAUCCGUAGCUGGUCUGAUAGGACGAUCAGCCACCCCGGAACUGAGACACGGUCCGGACUCCUACGGGAGGCAGCAGUGGGGAAUAUUGGACAAUGGGGGAAACCCUGAUCCAGUGACGCCGCGUGGGUGAAGAAGGCCUGCGGGUUGUAAAGCCCUUUCGGUAGGGAAGAAAUCUCUUGUCUUAACACGGCAGGAGUUUGACUUAACCUACAUAAGAAGCACCGGCUAACUCUGUGCCAGCAGCCGCCGUAACAC
rnacentral:rRNA from 1 species